UACGGCCAUAUAACGUUGAAUCACCGGUUCUCGCCCGAUCACCAAAUUUAAGCAACGUCGAACCUGGUUAUUACUUAGAUGAGUGACUGCUUGGGAAUACCAGGUGCUGUAA